AUACGUAGGAUGCGAGCGUUGUCCGGAUUUACUGGGCGUAAAGAGCGCGCAGGUGGCUAGGUAAGUUUGGCGUGAAAUCCCCCGGCUUAACUGGGGUAGGUCGUUGAAAACUGCUUAGCUUGAGUGCAGCAGAGGAAAGUGGAAUUCCCGGUGUAGUGGUGAAAUGCGUAGAUAUCGGGAGGAACACCAGUGGCGAAAGCGGCUUUCUGGGCUGCAACUGACGCUGAGGCGCGAAAGCGUGGGGAGCGAACCGGAUUAGAUACCCGGGUAGUCCACGCCCUAAACGAUGGACACUAGGUGUAGGGGGUAUCGACCCCCCCUGUGCCGAAGCUAACGCAUUAAGUGUCCCGCCUGGGGAGUACGGCCGCAAGGCUAAA
rnacentral:rRNA from 1 species